UCCGUAGGCGGUGCGGCAAGUCGGUAGUGAAAUCUCUGGGCUUAACUCAGAGGCUGCUUCCGAAACUGCCGUGCUCGAGUGUGAGAGAGGCGAGUGGAAUUACGGGUGUAGCGGUGAAAUGCGUAGAUAUCCGUAGGAACAUCCGAGGCGAAAGCGGCUCGCUGGAUCACAACUGACGCUGAGGGACGAAAGCUAGGGGAGCAAACAGGAUUAGAUACCCUGGUAGUCCUAGCCCUAAACCAUCAGGACUUGGGGUUUGCCCUGUACGGGGCAAGUCCCGGAGCUAACGCGUUAAGUCCUGCGCCUGGGGAGUACGGUCGCAAGGCUGAA
rnacentral:rRNA from 1 species